GACGAACGCUGGCGGUAUGCUUAACACAUGCAAGUCGAACGAGAAGUCUUUUAUUGAACCUUCGGGGGAUAUAAGAGACAGACAGUGGCGAACGGGUGAGUAACGCGUGGGCAACCUACCUAUCGGAGCGGGAUAGCCUCGAGAAAUCGGGAGUAAAACCGCAUAACACGGAUAUAUCGCAUGAUGAAUCCGUCAAAACUCCGGUGCCGAUAGAUGGGCCCGCGUCUGAUUAGCUAGUUGGUAAGGUAAGGGCUUACCAAGGCAACGAUCAGUAGCCGGUCUGAGAGGGCGAACGGCCACACUGGAACUGAGACACGGUCCAGACUCCUACGGGAGGCAGCAGUGGGGAAUAUUGCGCAAUGGGGGCAACCCUGACGCAGCAAUACCGCGUGAGUGAAGAAGGUUUUCGGAUCGUAAAGCUCUGUUAAUGGG
rnacentral:rRNA from 1 species